rnacentral:misc_RNA from 1 species
GGCGGCUGCGGUCCUCAUCCUCCCAAACCCCUUCCCCAAACCCUCAUCCUGCACCGUCAAAUAUCAAAUUCCCCAUUCUACCCUUUUCCUCUCCAUCAACCCCCUCCGAUCCCACAAGCGCCUCCCCUUCCGUCCCUUCUCUGCCGUACAAGACGCCGUCGCUGUGGAAGAAAAAAUCAUCGCCGACGCAGAUGUCGAUGCCGAUGUCGAGAAGAAGCGGAAGCUCUACGUGGCGAACUUGCCAUGGAGCCACACGGCUGAGGAAAUCGAGAAGCUGUUUGGCGAGUGUGGGACGGUGAAGAAGGUCGAGAUAAUUAAGCAGAAUAAUGGGUUGAGCCGGGGG